AUUGAACGCUGGCGGCAGGCCUAACACAUGCAAGUCGAACGAGUGGCGGACGGGUGAGUAAUGUCUGUGAAACUGCCUGAUGGAGGGGCAUAACUACUGGAAACGGUAGCUAAUACCGCAUACCAUCAGAUGUGCCCAGAUGGGAUUAGCUAGGUGGUGGGGUAACGGCUCACAAAGGCGACGAUCCCUAGCUGGUCUGAGAGGAUGAACAGACACACUGGAACGGAGACACGGUCCAGACUCCUACGGUAGGCAGCAGUGGGGAAGAUUGCACACUGGGCGCAAGCCUGAUGCAGCCAUGCCGCGUGUAUGAAGAGGGCCUUCGGGUUGUAAAGUACUUUCAGCGGGGAGGCUUUACCCGCAGAAGAAGCACCGGCUAACUCCGUGCCAGCAGCCGCGGUAAUUC
rnacentral:rRNA from 1 species